UGUGUCGCUGCACUACAGACAGUCUCC
rnacentral:piRNA from 1 species